CCUGCCCUUGAAGGAAACUUGCUUUGGCUCAGGUUAGCAGGCAAGUCCGUUUCUCCAAGGCGAUUCCAACCCCACGCCUCUCAACCCUUAAAUCUUAAAUUGAAUUAUUGGGUUCAGGUGGUUCUCCCACAGAACCUCCCAGCUUCCGGAACAGGGGGGCGGGGCAGGGAGACCCUGCUUUUUAUUUCAGAUCUGACGUGUGCAAUCCUAGUGCACUAGCCAAAAGGAAAAAAAAAAAAAAAAAAAAAAAAAAAAAGCUGAAUUCUCCGCGCUCUCCCGGCAAAUUUCUCUCCGACAUGAAACCCAAGGAGAAGGCGUGUUCAAUGGCUACAGGGCGCUCUCUGAAGCCGGCUCCUCGCGCGAAUUCCGGCCCAGGCCGCCGCUCAGGUCCCAGCCGGGCUGCACAGCGAGCUGGAGAGGAUGGCAACGCCUGCUUCCAGGGAGACGGGAGGAGCGCCAACUCCUAAGGUGGGUCACCUGCCAGGAAGGGAACACCCGUGGUGCAGACGCACGUGGGAGGAGCACAGGUCCCGCGUACAAGUGCAGUGCUGGCGACUUAGGGAAGAAGAGGUAGGCUCGGGUUCAGACCAAGCAGGCGAGAGGGAGUAGACGGGAUGUCCCAGGUUGGCAGUGACCAGUGACAGCGGAGUCACCCAACCCAGCCGCCUCACCCUCCCGGGGCGCUGGUCUCUCCCCUUGAACUGAAACCCAAGGGGCCGCCACACCGGGUGGGCGGGACCGACUAUUCCCUGACAGGCCCCUGGAGCUGCAUGCCAAGCGGGGCUGCGCCGAGCCGCUGAGCGCAGAGAGGAGCACCCGGCACCCAUCUGGCCGGACUCGGGGCCGCACCCGAGCGCGCCGGGCAGCAGUGGGCGCUCGAGAUCCUCCUCUGCCCUACGCGCUUUCCCUCCGGGCCCGGCCUCCUCCGUCCCCUCCUUCUGCUCCUGCUCCUCCUCCCGCUCCUCCCCUCCUCGGGAUUGAGCACCAAAACGCCCGCCUGCAAGGUCCUCGGCGCGCUGGCAGCCAGAAGCCGCUGCCACCACCUCUGGGUCUCAGUGGGUGCCUGCGCCCUCUCGCCGCCCACCCGCCCGCCCCGGGUCUUCCUGAAACUUGCUCCACCCGCCGCGGGUGCUGGUCAUUGCUGCCCAUGGCCCAACCCAGGAGCCUCUUUAGGGCGCCCGACGGGCUGGACGGCUGCGCCGCUCAGUAAUUGAAGGCCUGAGACGCCCAUGUGCCACUGAUUGGAAGGCUUCCCUGCUGCGGCGCUUCAUGAUCCAGCAGCGCGUGGACCAGUG
rnacentral:lncRNA from 13 species